UAGAAAAAAUUUCUCAUCAAUCUGCGAAAGCGAGAAGUUCGGCUAUAAUAUGAAAGUUACGAAUCGAACUUGGAUAAUUUAAUUUCUCCUCCUAUCUCAGGCACUCUGCCGCAUGGUAUGGAAUCGAUAAUAAUUCUUCAUCAGAAUACAUAUGAGAAGGUUGCAAGAUCAAUAUCCCUUUUUAUAGACUUCAGAUCGACUUCCCAUCAAAAUCUGAUUAGAAUUUUAUUUAAUUUAAAUAGAUAGGAUAGGAUAGGGAUAAAAUAUACCAUAUCAAUAGUUCUAUAUCUAUUAGAAUUGGCCUUUAUUUAUAUUAAAAUUCAGAUUUGAAUAUAAUUAAUUGAGCCAUAAUUUAU
rnacentral:lncRNA from 1 species